GAGAUAGAGGCGCGCCUGUUUAAUGAGUAGCCUUCCUGUAUAGGAUGUACAUGUCCGGGAGGAGGAAAGGUACAGGCGCCGAGGUUGGACCGUUUGUGUACAGACAGUUUCAGCUGGGCGUACAGAAUAAGAUCUGUGCGACUGUCGCAGAAGUGCGGAGAGCUAUCC
rnacentral:ncRNA from 1 species